rnacentral:lncRNA from 1 species
UACCGACAUUAUUAUUAUCAUUAAUCAACAGACCGUCACUGUCGGCUUUGCCUUUGAGUCUCAAGUAGCCAAGUGUCACUCAGCUCCACAUUUUCAAUGAACUCUGUUCUUCCCAGUGCACGACGGAUGCUCCAAAGUCAUAAGAUGUUUUUUCUUUAUAAAUCUUGAUAGAAAACGUCUCAGCCAACACUUAGGUCCAAACCAGGAAUCUCUGGGGUUAUCUUCCGGAAGAAGAAACCAGGGAGACGAUACAUUUUACAUAGACCGAUACGGCUUGGAAACCUACAUAAUUGAUACCGAGGGUCCAUAAACGCUUUGAACCAUCAAAGCGGAUCAGAGUUGUGGGGAAACGCGCCGAAGGAAGAAGAAACUUAAAGAAAAAUGGAACAUUUCUUCUGUUCCCAUUGAAAAGGCAUCUUGACAGGUUUGGGAAGGUGUUGUCAUUUACUGCAGAUUCUAAGAGGCGAGUUGAGUGUAACUUUUUGGUCCUGGGAGAUGUCAAGAAAAUAAGCUCAUCAGAGAAGAUAUUCAUCCGGUUCCCCGACCUUCAGACCCGAGUGGACUCCGGCUUCUCCACGUUGAGACCUCACCGCCGUCGUAUUGACAGGAUGAGGCCUUGUUUUCUCUGGCCCAGACAACUGAAAGCGGAUCCCGCCCUGAGGAGAAAGAUCCCCGAAAUGAAAUUGAGCGCGUGUGAGGUGAGAAUCGACGUUCCCUUGACCCCGUAGGAGAGGAAUCGGGUACAUCAACUCCAUGAGUUAAUACACCGAUGCACAGAUAUUCAAGAUAAAAACG